GAGUAACGCGUAUCCAACCUGCCCACAACUAGAGAAUAACCUUGCGAAAGUAAGACUAAUGCUCUAUAAUUUCCUUAGAUGGCAUCUGACGAGGAAUAAAGAUUUAUCGGUUAUGGAUGGGGAUGCGUCUGAUUAGCUUGUUGGCGGGGUAACGGCCCACCAAGGCAACGAUCAGUAGGGGUUCUGAGAGGAAGGUCCCCCACAUUGGAACUGAGACACGGUCCAAACUCCUACGGGAGGCAGCAGUGAGGAAUAUUGGUCAAUGGGCGAAAGCUGAACCAGCCAAGUAGCGUGCAGGAUGACGGCCCUAUGGUUGUAAACUGCUUUUAUACAGGGAUAAGUUAGUCACGUGUGGCUAUUUGCAGGUACUGUAUGAUAAGGACGGGCUAUUUCCGUGCUAGCAGCCGCGGUAAUACGGGAAGGUCCAGGCGUAAUCCGGAUUUAUGGGGUUUAAGGGGAGCGUAGGCCGUCUGUAAAGCGUGUGGUGAAAUGUAGAUGCUCAACAUCUGAUUGGCAGGCCCGAACCUGCCAGACUUGAGUUUCCGCAACGUAGGCGGAAUUCGUGGUGUACGCGGUGAAAUCCUUAGAUAUCACGAAGGACUCCAAUUCGCGAAGCAGCUUACGGGAGCACCACUGUACGCUUAGCUCGAAAGUGCGGGUAUCGGACAGGAUUAGAUACCCUUGUAGUCCGCACGGUAAACGAUGGAUGCCCGCUGUUGACCACCUGGCCAGCGCCAGCGGAAGCAUUAAGCAUCCCACCUGGGAGUACGCCGCAACGUGAAACUCAAAGGAUUGACGGGGGCCCGCACAAGCGGAGGGACAUGUGGUUUAAUUCGAUGAUACGCGAGGAACCUUACCCGGCUUGAAUUGCAGAGAAUUUACCAGAGACGGUUAAGCUUCGGGGUCUCUGUGAAGGUGCUGCAUGGUUGUCGUCAGCUCGUGCCGUGAGGUGUCGGCUUAAGUGCCAUAACGAGCGCAACCCCUUUCUUUAGUUGCCAUCAGGUAAUGCUGGGCACUCUGGAGAUACUGCCACCGUAAGGUGUGAGGAAGGUGGGGAUGACGUCAAAUCAGCACGGCCCUUACGUCCGGGGCUACACACGUGUUACAAUGGCCGGUACAGAGAGACGGUUGCUUGCAAAAGUAAUCCAAUCCUUAAAGCCGGUCCCAGUUCGGACUGGGGUCUGCAACCCGACCCCACGAAGCUGGAUUCGCUAGUAAUCGCGCAUCAGCCAUGGCGCGGUGAAUACGUUCCCGGGCC
rnacentral:rRNA from 1 species